AGAUGGAGCGGGGAAGCUGUCAGUGUUCCUCAGGAAUCGAAUGAAGUUCUUGGCAGGGAGCGUCUACACGGGUUAGAAGAGGAAGUCAGAGAGAUUUGAAGCAUAAGAAGGACUCAACCCACCAUUGCCUGCUUGAAGAUGAAGGGGCCAUGUGAAAAGGAUAAGAAGGAAAUGAAUUUUAUCAACAACCAGUGAACUUGGAAGAGGACCUUGAGACCCAGAUGAGGACUGCAGCUGGCUGACACCUUAGUGGGAGACUUGGAGCAGAGAAACCAGCUGAGUCCAUCUGGAAUUCUGACCUACAGAAAGAUCAGUAAUAAAUUUGUAUUGUUUCAA